AUCGGCUGCAGUUCCUGCGUCCAUGGAGUCCCUGGAUCAGUUGGUAUCGGUUACUUGGUUCUGACACAUGGACUGUUCUGGUCAUGUGAUUUUCCUUAAAGCGAUAAGAUGACCAACACAGGGUUCUGCUGUCUCUGCUCGGCACAUGCCAAGGUUUCAACAUCGUCAGAUAACUGGAAACCCCAAAGUCUAAAUGGGAAACACCUCUAACCUAACCUCUGAUGAACAUCUAGAAACCACCUCUGUUGCUAAAUCUGACAUGACUGUCAGUCUGAACAUGAUUCUUCAUUUCUAACAGUCAGGCUGAAGAGAGGAAACCUGAAGGAAACAGUUUUGCUGAGAAACUUUUCUCCUGAAUGUGGAACUUCUUCCUCAUCUUCACUUCCCUUUCUCUGAUCUGCAUCUGUCCCUGCAGACGUUUCCUGUCCGUCUGCUCUCUAUAAAGAGCCUGUGAGAUCUUCAGAGACUGAAGACCUUCAGCAGCUGACGCCUCAGAGGUCCUCCUGCCUGAACCAGCGUGGGUCCAGCAUCCCGUUCUGAAGCUCCUGAAGAACCAGAGACUGUGGGUGACCAUGAAGAUCCUGCUGAGCUGUUUGCUGAUCCUCAUGCUCUUUGCUGACUCUUCUAUGGCUACAUAUGAAAGUUUUUGCAGGAAGCACAUAGACAUAGACAUGACAGACAUGGUAACAACGGUAAACAACAAAUGUGACUCAGUGAUAAAAGACAAGAACAUUUACGACAACAACAACUGUAAAAGAAUCAACACUUUCAUUGCCUCUGACCUGGCUGAAGUCGAAAAAAUCUGUACAAGUGAGGGAACCCUAAACAGUCAAAGUCAAAUGAUGGAGAGCAAGAAAAUGUUCACACUCAUCAACUGCAAACUGAAGCACAACGAUGCCAAGAAACCCAACUGCCAAUAUGAAGGCAUUCUCCUGACUAACAGGAAGCUGUUGGUCCAGUGUGACAACAACAACCGGCCUGUUCACUUUGGUGGUUACAUAGCAGAGCCUGGUUUCUGAUGUCUGGAUUCCUGAGGCGACAGUGAAAUGUCCUGCUGACCUUCUCUGAAUCCCACUGAACAUCUGGCUUUACUGCAGCAGAGCCGCUUAUCUAGAUCAGCUGAUCCUGUUCUGUGCUGCUCACAGGUUGCAUUCCUGUACUCUGCUUGCUCCAACUCCAAACAAAGAGGAGUUCUGCUUUCAUCAAUAAAAGUAUCAAGUUGA